UGGGCAGGAUGCACGUGUGGCCAGGAAGGGAAGAGGGCAUGGUGACAGGUGUUACACCAUAUGCUUCUAGGGCUCCAUGGCUGCUCUACUCGGAUGUAGUUGUGUGGGCAUUCCUGUGAAAAUCUGUGCAUCUGUAAGCUCCUAGAGGAGGUGCUUACGGGGAUAACAGGGGCAAGUAGAAUGGUAGUCGGGCACACAAUCCAGGCUCCUUUCGGGAUCAACUUGUUUGCGAGUGGUUCAUAAGCAGCACCACAGGCAGGGCUGGUGAGGGAGUGCGCCAGAAAUGAAGAGCUAGGCUAUGCUCAAAUCCUGGAGCUGACUGGCACCAUGGCAGUGGGUGUGGGUGAUGCAAGGUAUGCAAGUGACCAGAUGGUGUGUGUGACCCGACGCAUCAAUCACAUUUUCCUUCUUUGACAGCACACAGGUAAGCUAAGCAUUCUAGAAUUUCUCUCGAUCGUUGCUUUGGUUUAAACUGGUGCUAUAUAGAAGAGAAAGGCUGAAGGCAUCAAAGGAGUUCUUUGAGCUGUCAAAGGAGGGGAAGCUGAAGUACACUGCCAGUGAUCCUCCAGCAUCCACUCGAAGAGCCUGAGAGCCGAUGCUACAUCUCCCUGGUGGCAGUAGCCAGCAAUGAUCGCAUUCCAAGUUAUGGCGUCAGUGUCCUGUGCUGGCUGCCGAGUCGAAAACUUUGCGAGCUUUUGCCAUGCAGCCAUACCAUCCAUAGAAGCCCAGCAGAGAAUUCAUGACAACCACCUCGGCUUCCAUCUCGGCAUGACAGAUCUGUUGGUGGAUGGCCCUUCCAGUCACUAGAGCCCUGGAGCUCCUGCAAGCCCAGAGCACCAUAGCGUAAGUUGGAGCAUCAGGUAUUAGGCCUUGGACUUGCUGCAUUUGCGAGAAGAGAUCCAGCACAGCCGGUGCUUGCUCCGCCUGGAUGUAUCCAAGCAUCAGUGUUGUCCACGACACAACGUCGUGCCUCUCCAUCUGGUUGAAGACUCUCCAUGUGUCCACCUCACCUAGCAUUUGCUAGGCAAGUACUCAUUCAAAUAUGCUUGGAGAUUCUAGGAUAUUUUAA
rnacentral:lncRNA from 1 species